UCAGGCACUGCAUGGUCAUAUAUUGGUAAAAAGUUUACCCUUUAUCAAUGUGACGUACUUGUUACAACUGAAAAUGGGGAACCACCUCGGAGAUACCGCUUGGGACGAGAGGGCAAGGUUGAUAUCAAGUACACAAGCUCUGAGAACAAUGAUUCCUCCAGUUACUACGAAGAACACCUACCAAACAUGACAUCAAGGUUGGCAAAAGAAGGAAUGAGAGUUGUGUAUACAUCGUCCAACAAUGGCGAGGGUAUACUUGGGACAAUCAUCAACGUCAAGAAGAGGAGUAAAUCUGAGGAUACAAAAACCACUGAUAACACACUUGAGAUGGGAAUUGAAGUACAAUUAGAUGACGGUUCUGUCAUUGCACCUCCAAUCCAUGAAAUAAAACUGUAUGACAACAGCCA